CCUACGGGUGGCAGCAGUGGGGAAUAUUGCACAAUGGGGGAAACCCUGAUGCAGCAACGCCGCGUGAGCGAUGAAGGCCUUCGGGUCGUAAAGCUCUGUCCUAAGGGAAGAAUACUGACGGUACCUUAGGAGGAAGCCCCGGCUAACUACGUGCCAGCAGCCGCGGUAAUACGUAGGGGGCUAGCGUUAUCCGGAAUUACUGGGCGUAAAGGGUGCGUAGGCGGCCCUUCAAGUCAGAGGUGAAAGGCUACGGCUCAACCGGAGUAAGCCUAUGAAACUGUAGGGCUUGAGUGCAGGAGAGUCAUGUGGGAUUCUCAGUGUAGCGGUGAAAUGCGUAGCUAGUCGGAGGAACACCAGUUACGAUGGCGGCUCUCUGGACUGUAACUGACGCUGUGGCACGAAAGCGUGGGGAGCGAACAGGAUUAGAUACCCUAGUAGUC
rnacentral:rRNA from 1 species